rnacentral:rRNA from 1 species
AGUGAACGCUGGCGGCGGGCUUAACACAUGCAAGUCGAACGGUAACAGGAACUAGCUUGCUAGUUUGCUGACGAGUGGCGCACGGGUGAGUAAUAUAUAGUUAAUGUACCCCAAAGACUGGGAUAGCCACUGGAAACGGUGAUUAAUACUAGAUACACCUCUUUAAUAUAAGUUAGAGAGGGAAAUGUCUUUUCGCUUUGGGAUCAGACUAUAUCCUAUCAGUUAGUUGGUGAGGUAAUGGCUCACCAAGGCAAUGACGGGUAGCGGUUCUGAGAGGAUGAUCCGCCACACUGGUACUGAGACACGGACCAGACUCCUACGGGAGGCAGCAGUGAGGAAUAUUGCACAAUGGGGGGAACCCUGAUGCAGCAACGCCGCGUGGAGGAUGACGCAUUUCGGUGUGUAAACUCCUUUUAUAUGUCAAGAAAUGACGGUAGCAUAUGAAUAAGCACCGGCUAACUCCGUGCCAGCAGCCGCGGUAAAGUAUCG